rnacentral:lncRNA from 12 species
AUGUUGUACAUAUCCAUUGGAGUGGUUUGUGGAGCUGCAGUUAUCAUCACAGUGUUGCUGAUUUGGAGAAGCAGGGUGAAAAAGAGAAAAGACAAACUCGAAACUCAGAUGAAUCAUUCCAGACCUGAGGAUGACAGAUACAAAGUAUCUGAUGUUGAUACGACUGAACGUUUGUAUGAGAAUGUAAUAGUAAGUUAUCAUUAUAGUCAGUCCAUUGGUGUGGACACAAAUAUGGUUGUUGUUAUUAUUAUUAUUAUAGCUAUCAUUAUAGUUAUCAACUAUUUGUCAAUGUUCUCACUAUUCUCUCUAUUUUUUUUCUUUAAUUGCAAAGAUGAAUUAUUCCAGACCUCAUGAUGACAGACUUAAUGACUAUGAAGUAGAGUCGACUGAACCUGUGUAUGAGAAUGUAAUGGUAAGUGCUUUCACUCUUGAUAUCAAAUGUCUACUGAAUAAGUAUAUGGUGCACAGCAUAUAAUUCACUGUUUAAGAUCAAGUAAUUCAAGUCCUUUUAUACUGACCAGAAAUUUGAAGUGUAUUAUUUAGUCAUGAAGUUAUUCACAAAUUCACUUUCUUUCUUUUAGCGUGACAGGCCGUAGUGUUUGGGACAUGUGGCAAAACAUUUUACAGCCUUUUUCUGUCUCACUGUGGGUGGAGCCUGAAUGAUUGACAGUGUCUUGAUUUACAGAAAUUAAUUUAGAAAUUGGUUUUAUCCAAAUGAUAAGCCUUAAGUGCUGAAAUUUUAUUUGACUGUAUUUAAGCAUAAAAAUACUAUACGAAUUAGAAUGAAAACAAUCUUAAAUUACAACACACAAAAACUACAUCUUAAAACUAAUAUAAUCAUGUAAGAUCUCAUUGGAUGUUAAGUUUAACAUAUUCUGCCUAUUCCGUGUUUUUAAAGAUAUUGUAUAUUGCAUUUUUAUUAAAGUGUAUUGUCAUACCGCA